AUGACUGAGAUGAAAAGGAAUAAAAAGACCAAAAGGCCAAAUCACACAGCUGCCACCUCUGGGUCUCUAAAUCAACCACCUUUGAUAACAAACAGUAGGGUUCCUUCCUGGCUCCCUAAGCCUGUCUCCAGAAUGCUGAAAGUCACCUGUUCUCCAAAGGUUGUGCCACCAAAUCAAGGAAAAGCAAUAGAAGGCAGCCCCAAAAUGAAGAACCAGGUAUCCUUACAGGAAUGUAGUGAACCCCAAAGGGCUAUGUGAAAAUGCAUUUGCUGCAAGCGGGAACAUCAGGGUGAGACUUUUUCUUUUAUUUUAAGUAUAAUAUAUAGCAAAACUCCAGCUUCUGGGCUAAGAUAAAAGGAAAGGAUUAGAGUACGUGGAAUGUCAGAUUUGCAGACAUGACAAAAUCUCAGUUGCAAAUAUUUGAGGGGAAUCUUCCAAGACUAAAAGCAAAAAACCUUUCAGCUUAUUGGUUAUCAAAACUAGAACUCCAAAUAGAACUGGAACCUAGUCAGUGAGUUGAUGAUGUGUCCUGGAAAAUGUAUCCAGAUAUAACUGCAAACUGAGCAGGGUUUAGUUUACAUGCUUGGGGGAUUGGAUUCCACCCAUUUUUAAAAAGUUUUCUAGAAAUGUCAUCAUUUAUUUGUAUAACCACUGAGUUCACUUUUAUGACAAAACUCAAAUAUCAGCCACAGCUGCUUGAAUCCAGUAAACAAGUAUUGUGAAGAGAAAAUAAAACUCAGGACCCCAAUUCACUUUACCAAAAGAAAAAAUGAAGCUGAAAGCUGAGUCAUGAAAGAAUCUGCCUUUUCUUUUGUUCCUUAAGCAGAUAGCUACAGAUAAAAUAUUAAAUAUCUCCACUCUGUGUUCACUUCUGUCUUAUGUAAAGUGUAGAUUUACUGAGCGGGAGAGGAAUGCAUAAAUGACUAUUCCUUUACCUGCUCAUUUUCUCUUGCAACUUGUGUGUAACCCUAUCCACCCCCAGCUUUCCUCUCUAGCCUGUUUUUUCCCUUCAAAUAUUGAACCUCUGAAAAUUAUCUUUGGAGAAAGGCACAGAUGACAGACUGUUUCUGUGAAUCUGUGUUUUUUAAUUCCAGGAAUGUCCUUAACCUUGACAAAAUAAACUUCUAAAUUGACUGAGGCCUGCCUCAGAUAGUUUUUGGUUUACAGACAUAAUUCAAACCAAACAUCUUGUGCAAAAAAAAAAAAAAAAAAAAAAAAAAAAAAAGAAUCUAAAAUAUAUCAUUGAACAAAACAACAUUGUAAUUAGAAUAUCUGAAAAAUAUUUGUCAUCUCAGUGAAUACAUUUUUUUGUGAAAAUGUGAAAAUAUUGAGGAAUUAACUCAUGAUUUUUUAAAAGACAUUCUUGCAUGUAGAUUUAACUAUAGAAUAAUAAAAUUUUCUAAGAAAAAGCAAAACAGUAUUAAAUAAACAAAUUAAAAAGAUAGAACUCUAUGUGGCUAGUGUGUUUAAACAGAGAAUACAUUAUAGAUUUAAAUUUAAAUUAUAAACAGAUAUUUUUCUUUUUUCUGUGUAGCAGUCCUUUAUAUAGGUUUUUCUGAAAUUGAAGCUUUAGCUAUGUAAAAAAUAAAUACCCAGAAAAAGAUCUAUGGUUAAAGGCUAGAGCAUUCAAGAUUCAAUGAACUAUUAAAAGAGAUUGCUUAGAUUUAUAAAAAUAUUGCAAAGUAAAAUUGACAGAAUUAUAUAAUAUUUUAGAAAAUAUAUUUUAUUUGUAGUUACCUAGUUAAGGUACUGGUUAGCCAACUAUUACAAUGCCAUUUAUAAAGCAUUCAUUCUUUUCCCCAGUGAUUUUAUGUGUCUUGUAUCAUAUACCAAAUUCUUCCUCAAAUAGUUUCUAAAUUUCUGUUUUAAACCAUUGUAUUUCUUGUCUAUUUCUGAGCAAAUAAUAUCAAGUAAGUAAAGUCUUUUCUCAUUAUUUUUUAAGAGUAUUUUUGAAUAGUUUAUAGUUACGCUAGAUAACUGUAUGAUAAUGUCGUAAAGGCUUAAUGAAAACAAAACACACAAAACAUCUCAUUUCUAAUCUGAUUUAAAAAACAUUACAUGUAUUG
rnacentral:lncRNA from 1 species